UACGAAGGGGGCUAGCGUUGCUCGGAAUCACUGGGCGUAAAGGGUGCGUAGGCGGGUCUUUAAGUUAGGGGUGAAAUCCUGGAGCUCAACCCCAGAACUGCCUUUGAUACUGAGGAUCUUGAGUUCGGGAGAGGUGAGUGGAACUGCGAGUGUAGAGGUGAAAUUCGUAGAUAUUCGCAAGAACACCAGUGGCGAAGGCGGCUCACUGGCCCGAUACUGACGCUGAGGCACGAAAGCGUGGGGAGCAAACAGG
rnacentral:rRNA from 1 species